rnacentral:rRNA from 1 species
UACGGAGGGUGCGAGCGUUGUCCGGAAUCACUGGGCGUAAAGGGCGCGUAGGUGGCGCGGUCAGUCAACGGUGAAAGUUCGGGGCUCAACCCUGAAUCGGCCGUCGAUACUCCCGUGCUGGAGCACUGUAGAGGCUAAUGGAAUUCCGGGUGUAGCGGUGGAAUGCGUAGAGAUCCGGAAGAACACCGGUGGCGAAGGCGGUUAGCUGGGCAGUUGCUGACACUGAGGCGCGACAGCGUGGGGAGCAAACAGG